rnacentral:rRNA from 1 species
GUGCCAGCAGCCGCGGUAAUACGUAGGGUGCGAGCGUUAAUCGGAAUUACUGGGCGUAAAGUGUGCGCAGGCGGCACCGCAAGUCGAGUGUGAAAGCCCCGGGCUUAACUUGGGAAUUGCGCUCGAAACUAUGGUGCUGGAGUGUGGCAGAGGAAGGUGGAAUUCCAGGUGUAGCGGUGAAAUGCGUAGAGAUCUGGAGGAACACCGAUGGCGAAGGCAGCCUUCUGGGCCAACACUGACGCUCAUGCACGAAAGCGUGGGGAGCAAACAGGAUUAGAUACCCGAGUAGUCC